rnacentral:rRNA from 1 species
UACGGAGGGUGCAAGCGUUAUCCGGAUUCACUGGGUUUAAAGGGUGCGUAGGUGGGCAGGUAAGUCAGUGGUGAAAUCUCCGGGCUUAACCCGGAAACUGCCGUUGAUACUAUUUGUCUUGAAUAUUGUGGAGGUAAGCGGAAUAUGUCAUGUAGCGGUGAAAUGCAUAGAUAUGUCACAGAACACCAAUUGCGAAGGCAGCUUACUAUGGUUUUAUUGACACUGAGGCACGAAAGCGUGGGGAUCAAACAGG